GUCAUGUGGAAAGACUGUGCUUGUGGAGAUCUACAGCAGAUGCCCAUGGCAAUCCAGAGUGAUUGCAUGGUGUCAGAAGACUUGCAUUAUAAUACAACCCGUAUGGAGUCAUUGUAUGGACAUUUGUUUUUUUGAAGCUGAAGGGCUGGACUCCAUUUACCGCAAUUGUUUGGAUGAAAGUUCCCUUGGCCUUAAUUUUUGUCUGAAUUAUAAUUUUAAUCACAGUCAUAGCCCCGUUCACUGUCCUGCCUAAAAUUUUAAUCUGACAGUCUGACGAUAUCUUCAUUACCUUGUCUUCAUGCUUUUUAUCCGUGACCUUCACUCAUUGGUGAGCAUAGCCUCAUAUCUUUGAUUUAACAUCUGGACUGGGCCACUUCCCUUAAAGUGAUAUUGAACUUUGUUGAAGUUUGGGUUGUGGAGUUUAGUGGCCAUGACAUGAGUCCAAAUAUUUAUAGUCAUCAUCAGCUGCUCCUGUGCUAAUCUUGUGAGAAGUUUGCAAAGGGAUACUUUUAACAGAAGCCACCCAGUUUCUUUUACCUAGCUGUGGCGUGCACCAGCUGCUGGAGAAGAUAUUUUGGACUUGCAGCAUAGACAGUACAACACAAAGUUUUACCAAGAUUCAAGAUCACUUGUGUAGUGUAAUUUUGUAUUUUACUUAUUGUAAACAUGGCCUGUGAAAAGAGGAAAAACUACAUUGCUUUUCUAUUACUAACAAAUAUGGUCCAUUUUGCUACCACCAAAAAUACUUUAUGGACAUACAAGUUACACAUAACUUUAUUUAUGGACUUUAAUGUUGUGAAUUGUUUAUAUAUCCUGAUUUCUUGAGUUAAAACUGAUGUCUUGUGAAAAUUUCAUGUGAAUAGCCUCAUAGGAAAUAUAUUUACUGAAAGAAAUGUUGACAUGUCCAAUACUUAUUUCUCCCACUGUAUGUUGAACAGCAAAUAGCAUGAAUAUGCUUGUUCAUGUAAUCUGACAUACAAUGCUUAGUUAUCAUUACAAUUCUCUAAAAUGACUAACUAAUACUGUAACUGUGCACAUUGCUUUGAUUAAAAGUACAUAUUCCGUAUUUAUACAUACAGUUGUAAUUUUGUUUACUUGGAGAAACAGAAAUCUUACAGGAAAUAACUGUAGAUAGACAGAGCAGUUGCUUAAAGUAACUAUAAAAUACCUUGAAUUUACAGAGAUUGGCUGUAAAUGUUUGUAAUGUUUGUAAAUAUUUUUAAUGUACUGUUUUAAAAAUAUAAUAGUUCUGUAAAAUGGCUGAUUAAUAGUAUAAAUCUAAAAACAUUUGUCUUUGUUUUAUA